UUGGUAUUUGAAGGUCUUCAGAUACGAUGAAUCUGGUGGUCUAUGCUUCUUUUAUGAUUGAGAAGUACCACUUAGAACCAGUUGGAUUCAUAACUUCGAGAAAAUGGUAUGAAUUUCAUCCAUGAGCAAAUAUAGGACGUGACUGAGAAGGUGAAAAGAAGUAGGAUCUCAUACCAGUGGCUAACAAGUUGUUGAUGGCCCGAGUCGUUCACUGCUACGAAUGCCUUCGCUAUCCUCCAUAGAGCUCCAUUGACCCCAUCCUCUCGGACUCAAUGUUGCAUCUUUCUCCAAGUACACUAGUGUUUUUGAGGCGUAUACUUUGUUGGAAGUGGAAUUACCCAUCCGUCCUCAUUUUCAUCUUCAUCGUCGCUCGUCAGUAGAGGCACGAAAUGGCAAUAAUUGGCAUGGCUAUUUUGCCAUUUAAUUCAUGUCCUUACUAAUUUUUCUGACUACAUGUGUGUUUUUUAAAAGAAAUACCUCCAUCUGAUUUGAAA